rnacentral:rRNA from 1 species
GAGUUUGCUUCUGGCUCAGGAUGAACGCUGGCGGCGUGCUUAACACAUGCAAGUCGAACGGGGAUGCCAUUUUCGAGGUGAUUAGUUUACUAAGAGCCAAGAUGUUGGCAUCUUAGUGGCGGACGGGUGAGUAACGUGUGGGUAACCUGCCUUAUACAGGGGGAUAACACUUAGAAAUAGGUGCUAAUACCGCAUAAGCGCACGGGGCUGCAUGGCCCAGUGUGAAAAACUCCGGUGGUAUAAGAUGGACCCGCGUCUGAUUAGCUUGUUGGCGGGGUAACGGCCCACCAAGGCGACGAUCAGUAGCCGGCCUGAGAGGGUGGACGGCCACAUUGGGACUGAGACACGGCCCAAACUCCUACGGGAGGCAGCAGUGGGGAAUAUUGGACAAUGGGGGGAACCCUGAUCCAGCGACGCCGCGUGAGUGAAGAAGUAUUUCGGUAUGUAAAGCUCUAUCAGCAGGGAAGAAAGAAAUGACGGUACCCGACUUAGAAAGCCCCCGGCUACUACGUGCCAGCAGCCCGCGGUAAUACGUAGGGGGCAAGCGGUUAUCCGGAUUUACUGGGUGGAAAGGGAACGUAAAACGGUUACCCCAGUCUGGAAUUGAAGGGCGGGGCCCCAACCCCCCAACUGGUUUUGAAACCGUGAAAACUGGAAGGCCAGAAAAGAAAAGUGGGGAUUCC